AACGAUGAACCACUUCGGUGGGGAUUAGUGGCGAACGGGUGAGUAACACGUGGGCAAUCUGCCCUGCACUCUGGGACAAGCCCUGGAAACGGGGUCUAAUACCGGAUACGAGUCUCCAAGGCAUCUUGGAGACUGUAAAGCUCCGGCGGUGCAGGAUGAGCCCGCGGCCUAUCAGCUUGUUGGUGAGGUAGUGGCUCACCAAGGCGACGACGGGUAGCCGGCCUGAGAGGGCGACCGGCCACACUGGGACUGAGACACGGCCCAGACUCCUACGGGAGGCAGCAGUGGGGAAUAUUGCACAAUGGGCGAAAGCCUGAUGCAGCGACGCCGCGUGAGGGAUGACGGCCUUCGGGUUGUAAACCUCUUUCAGCAGGGAAGAAGCGAGAGUGACGGUACCUGCAGAAGAAGCGCCGGCUAACUACGUGCCAGCAGCCGCGGUAAUACGUAGGGCGCAAGCGUUGUCCGGAAUUAUUGGGCGUAAAGAGCUCGUAGGCGGCUUGUCACGUCGGUUGUGAAAGCCCGGGGCUUAACCCCGGGUCUGCAGUCGAUACGGGCAGGCUAGAGUUCGGUAGGGGAGAUCGGAAUUCCUGGUGUAGCGGUGAAAUGCGCAGAUAUCAGGAGGAACACCGGUGGCGAAGGCGGAUCUCUGGGCCGAUACUGACGCUGAGGAGCGAAAGCGUGGGGAGCGAACAGGAUUAGAUACCCUGGUAGUCCACGCCGUAAACGGUGGGCACUAGGUGUGGGCGACAUUCCACGUCGUCCGUGCCGCAGCUAACGCAUUAAGUGCCCCGCCUGGGGAGUACGG
rnacentral:rRNA from 1 species